UUUACAGUAUAACAUAGCUGAAGGCUACUAUUUGCAGAAAAGCAAACAGUUGUAAACAAAUUUGCAUAUAAAGGGGGAGAUAACUGUGAAAGUUAAAUCUUGGGACUGGGACUAAAAAAUAAAAACAUGGGGGACUUUAUACAUCUAGCAUAUAACACACUAAAUGAAGUUCAAUAAACUUAGUUACUUUGAACAAGAAAACUAUAAACAAACUGGGAAUCUUAUGAAAUAAGAAAACAAGUGCAACACUGGGCUUUGCAAUGAGAUAAACAGAGAACAUCAGUUUACUAGCUUCUAAGAGCUUUCUG
rnacentral:lncRNA from 1 species